GCUACCUCCUUAAAGGUCCGAUGACCAGCCUCCUCACCCUGAGAAGUUUAGAAUCGAUAGUACCCCUAUAAGUAGAAGCAACUGUAUAUUAAUAAAUAGAAUACAAACCUAUUGCGAAUUUAAAAAUUAAAUAUCUUUGACUUAUCAGGAAUAUCUUCCAGACUACAUUACGAGCCCCCAAUGGCCAAUUGGAGACCUCAUUCAUCGACCUCGACAUCAAUCAUAGGAUGAUCCUAUCCGAUAACCAUAUAAGGCACCCC
rnacentral:lncRNA from 1 species